rnacentral:rRNA from 1 species
GACGAACGCUGGCGGCGUGCCUAACACAUGCAAGUCGAACGGAGAUACGAUUUCGGUUGUAUCUUAGUGGCGAACGGGUGAGUAACGCGUGAGCAACCUGACCUUCAGAGGGGGAUAACAUUUGGAAACAGAUGCUAAUACCGCAUAAGACCACGACUCGACAUCGGGAUGAGGUCAAAGGAGCAAUCCGCUGGAGGGGGGGCUCGCGUCCCAUUAGAUAGAUGGCGGGGUAACGGCCCACCAUGUCGACGAUGGGUAGCCGAGCUGAGAGGCUGAUCGGCCACACUGGAACUGAGACACGGUCCAGACUCCUACGGGAGGCAGCAGUGGGGAAUAUUGGGCAAUGGGCGCAAGCCUGACCCAGCAACGCCGCGUGAGGGAAGAAGGCUUUCGGGUUGUAAACCUCUGUCCUUGGUGACGAAACAAAUGACGGUAGCCAAGGAGGAAGCCCCGGCUAACUACGUGCCAGCCGCCGCAGUAA